CAGGAGACCAAAAAUAACCCCCGAGAAGUAGAGCUGAAAGCAGAUUCCUGUUCCCAGAAGCAAAGUCAGGGAAGGAGAAAGUGCAGACAAACUCCCACAGAGCAGCUGAGGAUCAACGCCAUGAUAUCUGUGCCAAAGACAUUGGAGGGACAUAUCUGGAAGAGCAACAGCAGGAACAUCUGCAGUGCUACGCACCCCAUCUGGGUCACUCACCUGUCCCCACAGCCCAUCUGCAGGGCAUGCAAAUCUUCCUCCACUUCUAAUUGCAAUUUGCAAACUCCUUUCGAAGUGUGCUGUUAGCUUCUAGAUGCUAGAUGCCGUUAGAUGUGCUGUUGCACACCUCCCACCCAUGCUGGACACCAACACUGGAAUACCACAGCAGAUGAUAUUCUCCAUUAAGAUACAAAAGAAAGAAGUCCAGAUAUGAGCUGAACUAAUGCAUUAUGUCACAGUCUGUUCUCUUCUCCUUUACUUUACUUUUUUUCCCCUUUCUUUUUUCCUUUCUCUG
ensembl:lncRNA